UCACGCUCUUCUCCUUUCAUUUGAUUUCUUUUUUUUCUCUUUUUUUUCAACAACCACCUCACACCAACAUCAGUUCAGUCACAGGAGUGUGCAGCUGCCGAUGAUGGGUACAGAAGAAAGAAGAAACAACAAACCUUGAGGCCAUUUCUUAAAAAAAAGGAACGAGAGACCACACCCGUCAAAAAAAAAAAACAAAAAAAAACAACAUU
rnacentral:ribozyme from 1 species